rnacentral:lncRNA from 1 species
UGUUUGGUUAUUGAUUUGAUUCGCAUUGAGUAUUUGCUGCGUUUGGCACGCGAUUGUGCAUUAACUGCUGAUUCAGACGUUAUUGAAAGAACGAGUUUGAACUUUGCCUGGAUUCUGAGGUUGACUUGGAGUUAUUGUGAGAAAUGAUCUAGCGUGUGAGACGAGGAACCCGUAGCUAUUAGCUUCUUGAAGCUAUAACUAUAUCCUUCUUAGUAAAUGUGAAAAACUACGUCUGGAGUUGUAGAUUUUAGUACCAUUAUUUGGGAUAUUGAGAAGACUAAGCUCCAUCUUAUAUGAUAGCUGAAAAUAUUUGAUAGUAAUUAGCUACUGUUACCGAGAAUUUCUUGUGGUUGUUUCUAGGAACUCUAACGUUGUACUGUUAUGAUGUGUCUGUCAUUAAAUGUGCCCCUGAAAGAGUUUUUCAGCACAGCAAACUUCCUUUUUUUUUUUAAAGAAACGGUGAUAAUCCAUAAACUGCAUAAUCUGUUUAUUUAUUUUUAAAUUUUAUUUUAUUAUUUAUGCAGUUGGAAACGCUCCUAAGUAGAAUUCCUGUUAAUGGCAUUGAUUUCUCACUUUACUCCUGAGAUUAUUUUUUAAGUAAUGUGAUUUUUUGACCUGUCAGUUUCGGCAAUGCACCGCGUGGGUAGUGCUGGUAAUGGAAACAAUUCAACUCGUCCUCGC